GACGUAGGGCGCGAGCGUUGUCCGGAUUUAUUGGGCGUAAAGAGCUCGUAGGCGGCUUGUCGCGUCGUCCGUGAAAUCCCACGGCUCAACCCGUGGAAGUGCACUCGAAACUGCGCAGCUAGAGUCCUGGAGAGGAAGGUGGAAUGCUUGGUGUAGAGGUGAAAUUCGUAGAUAUCAAGCGGAACACCGGUGGCGAAGGCGGC
rnacentral:rRNA from 1 species